rnacentral:lncRNA from 1 species
AAUAAAAAAUAAUAAUAAAACAGAAAAAUUUUUUAAAUUGGUAUUCAAUAAUAAUAAAUGUAAUUUAUAAUAUACAGUAAUUAUAUGAAUUUCAAAAAGCUUUUUUAGAUUAGUGCAAAAUAAUUUUUAAAAUAACCAAUUUGCCUGUUCCAGAUCAUUGACAUAUUAUCAUGGAAAAGGCCCACCCUCACAGGGCAUGCCUUGUCGGAAUGCACGGCAAAGGCUCCCAUGGGGUUAAGGAAUCUGUGGUUGGAAAUGCAAAACAGCAGCUCCAAAGUGUUAUGAAUUGCCUGAUUUCCUAUUUUUAUGAUAGAGAACAAGAUAGGGAGUAUAUGAAGAGUAUUAUCUAUGAAACAGUGGAGGAGCUUCCAGAAUAGAGGGAUCUUUGCAGUGUUUCACAACAUUGGAGGUGAGCAUGGGAUCUUUUAGGUGGUCAUUGCACACACUGUAAUGAAGUUAGAUGUCGUCACUUCAAACAGUUGCUAAUGUAAAAGGGGGCAGUUAAUAAUGUAAACAUGUAACAUGUAAAUAGAUAAUGUAAACAUGGGGAAAAUAUUAUCUAUUUUUUUUUCUGAUGAUCAGCAAUGACAUGACUUCUAAUCCUAAUAGGGCUAUGGAGCUGCCAUUUUCCAUUUCUGACCAUGGGUUCCUUACAAAAAAUGUU